rnacentral:rRNA from 1 species
CCUACGGGGGGCAGCAGUGAGGAAUAUUGGUCAAUGGGCGCGAGCCUGAACCAGCCAAGUCGCGUGAGGGAAGACGGUCCUAUGGAUUGUAAACCUCUUUUGUCGGAGAACAAAACCCGGGACGUGUCCCGGACUGCGUGUAUCCGAAGAAAAAGCAUCGGCUAACUCCGUGCCAGCAGCCGCGGUAAUACGGGGGAUGCGAGCGUUAUCCGGAUUUAUUGGGUUUAAAGGGUGCGUAGGCGGUCCGUUAAGUCAGCGGUAAAAUUGCGGGGCUCAACCCCGUCGAGCCGUUGAAACUGGCAGACUUGGGUUGGCGAGAAGUACGCGGAAUGCGCGGUGUAGCGGUGAAAUGCAUAGAUAUCGCGCAGAACUCCGAUUGCGAAGGCAGCGUACCGGCGCCAGACUGACGCUGAGGCACGAACGCGUGGGGAUCGAACAGGAUUAGAUACCCCAGAGUC